rnacentral:rRNA from 1 species
GACGAACGCUGGCGGCGCGCUUAACACAUGCAAGUCGAGCGAGAACCAGGGCUUCGGCCCUGGGGACAGCGGCGAACGGGUGAGUAACACGUGGGUAAUCUGCCCUCGGCACCGGAAUAGCCCGGGGAAACCCGGAUUAAUGCCGGAUGGCCCCUUCACCUCGCGAGGUGUCGGGAAAAGGUAGCUUCGGCCUCUGGCCGAGGAUGAGCCCGCGGCGGAUUAGCUUGUUGGCGGGGUAACGGCCCACCAAGGCGACGAUCCGUAGCUGGUCUGAGAGGACGAUCAGCCACACUGGGACUGAGACACGGCCCAGACUCCUACGGGAGGCAGCAGUGGGGAAUCUUGCGCAAUGGGCGAAAGCCUGACGCAGCGACGCCGCGUGAGGGAAGAAGGCCUUCGGGUUGUAAACCUCUUUCAGGAGGGACGAAGCUACUCGGGUGAAUAGCCCAGAGGGUGACGGUACCUCCAGAAGAGGCCCCGGCUAACUACGUGCCAGCAGCCGCCGCCG